UGCUGUUGUUUGAAGCCUCACUUUGCUUGUCCUUGCCUCCCAGCAGAGAUAGUUGCAUCAGUGUGUGCCUUAGACGGUCAGUAUCAUGAGGCCAUUGGACACAGGGUGAAAGGCCUCAACACAUAUGGAGAAUGACUUGCAGUGAUCCCGCGUCUCUGUGAAGGCCAUGCUCAGGCACCUUCCUUUCAGCUCUUGUGCAGCUCCAGCAGAAAGUGGAAUACCGGCACUCUGGGGGAACUGGAUUGUGCUGUAUUAUAGUGCCAGAAUAGCAGAGCGAUGCCACUCUGGAUUUCCUGAAAUGAGACGGGAUUUCUGAGCAUUGGAAGAAGGAAGAAAGGAGGAACUUGUCAAAAUCCUUUG
rnacentral:lncRNA from 1 species